rnacentral:lncRNA from 1 species
CUCAUAUGUCUUAGUGUUUUCCAUUUUUUUCUCUUUUCCAUUCACAGCAAUUUUUAACGUUCAGGUCUGCUUUCUUUACUACAAAGCUGAUAUCUUCACAGAACUGCUUCCCAGGACUCCCAGAUCUUACUUCUGAGAGUAAGCAAGCAAUAGAGCUGGAAAACUUGGCAGUGAACUCUUUCCUGCUUGUAUCCAUGGAACCUGGAUCUUACAAGAUGCACAGUCUGGAGCAGUGAAGUAGAGGAAGACUACCUCCUUGUCUAGAGGUGGACUACUACCACUGCCACCUACCACUA